ACUCACUGACUCAGUCAAUCACUCACUCAGACACUCACUCCUUACGUCCUGCAGCUGCAGCAGAAGCAGGCCCAGGCCAAGUCUGUCCUGCAGCGUCUGGCCAAGGACAUCUGUGCCAACAACCGUGCCCUGCAGCCCUGGGUGCUGAACCAGAGAGAGAAGUUUGACCACCUGUGCUGUCCUUUCCAAGGCAUCACUCCCUCACCCCUGCAGCGAGGCUACAGGAACAAGUGUGAGCUGAGUGUGGGUCGUGGUGAGUGUGGUGAGCGAGUGGUGGGUUUUCGCCUGGGGGCCUACCGCCUGGGCUCUUGCUGUGUGUGUGUGUACUGUGUGUGUACUGUGUGUACUGUGUGUGUACUGUGUGUGUGUGUACUGUGUGUGUACUGUGUGUACUGUGUGUGUACUGUGUACUGUGUGUGUACUGUGUGAGUGUAGCGAGGCUACAGGAACAAGUGUGAGCUGAGUGUGGGUCGUGGUGAGUGCGGUGAGCGAGUGGUGGGUUUUCGCCUGGGGGCCUACCGCCUGGGCUCUUGCUGUGUGUGUGUGUGUACUGUGUGUGUACUGUGUGUGUACUGUGUGUGUACUGUGUGUACUGUGUGUAGCGAGGCUACAGGAACAAGUGUGAGCUGAGUGUGGGUCGUGGUGAGUGUGGUGAGCGAGUGGUGGGUUUUCGCCUGGGGGCCUACCGCCUGGGCUCUUGCUGUGUGUGUGUGUACUGUGUGUGUGUACUGUGUGUGUACUGUGUGUGUACUGUGUGUACUGUGUGAGUGUAGCGAGGCUACAGGAACAAGUGUGAGCUGAGUGUGGGUCGUGGUGAGUGUGGUGAGCGAGUGGUGGGUUUUCGCCUGGGGGCCUACCGCCUGGGCUCUUGCUGUGUGUGUGUGUACUGUGUGUGUACUGUGUGUGUACUGUGUGUACUGUGUGAGUGUAGCGAGGCUACAGGAACAAGUGUGAGCUGAGUGUGGGUCGUGGUGAGUGUGGUGAGCGAGUGGUGGGUUUUCGCCUGGGGGCCUACCGCCUGGGCUCUUGCUGUGUGUGUGUGUACUGUGUGUGUACUGUGUGUGUACUGUGUGUGUGUGAGUGUAGCGAGGCUACAGGAACAAGUGUGAGCUGAGUGUGGGUCGUGGUGAGUGUGGUGAGCGAGUGGUGGGUUUUCGCCUGGGGGCCUACCGCCUGGGCUCUUGCUGUGUGUGUGUGUACUGUGUGUGUACUGUGUGUGUACUGUGUGUGUGUACUGUGUGUGUACUGUGUGUGUACUGUGUGUAGCGAGGCUACAGGAACAAGUGUGAGCUGAGUGUGGGUCGUGGUGAGUGCGGUGAGCGAGUGGUGGGUUUUCGCCUGGGGGCCUACCGCCUGGGCUCUUGCUGUGUGUGUGUGUACUGUGUGUGUACUGUGUGUGUGUACUGUGUGUACUGUGUGUGUACUGUGUGUACUGUGUGUGAGUGUAGCGAGGCUACAGGAACAAGUGUGAGCUGAGUGUGGGUCGUGGUGAGUGCGGUGAGCGAGUGGUGGGUUUUCGCCUGGGGGCCUACCGCCUGGGCUCUUGCUGUGUGUGUGUGUACUGUGUGUGUACUGUGUGUGUACUGUGUGCACUGUGUGAGUGUAGCGAGGCUACAGGAACAAGUGUGAGCUGAGUGUGGGUCGUGGUGAGUGUGGUGAGCGAGUGGUGGGUUUUCGCCUGGGGGCCUACCGCCUGGGCUCUUGCUGUGUGUGUGUGUACUGUGUGUGUACUGUGUGUGUACUGUGUGUGUGUACUGUGUGUGUGUACUGUGUGUGAGCUGAGUGUGUGUACUGUGUGUGUACUGUGUGUACUGUGUGAGUGUAGCGAGGCUACAGGAACAAGUGUGAGCUGAGUGUGGGUCGUGGUGAGUGUGGUGAGCGAGUGGUGGGUUUUCGCCUGGGGGCCUACCGCCUG